GCCUGUGGGUUAAUGUGUUGGGAGUGUAAGUGCUAGUGAUGUUUGCAUUUAAGUAUAAUGUGUCAAAUAAAAAUUGGGACUCAAUUACAUAAUAUCUCAUAUUUAUCAACAUUAGGAACUCCAAAAAUAUGUUUUUAGAAAAAGCAAUGAUUCGGGAAUCAAGAAAUAUGUAUUCUAAUCCUGACGGAAACAAUUACUAAAUUGUAAGAUCUUAGAAUAUCACGAAUCUUUAAGACAUAUAAUAAUCAUCCUCAAAAAACGGGUAUUGGUAGGUUUCUCAUGAGGAUCUAAUAAGAAGUAUUAUGGUUGUAAAUUUACAACAUGAGAUGGGGUCCAAGAUGGUGCUUCCAACGAAGGUUUAUACCAAGAGCACUUAGAGAGACAGAGCCCUUUUGAACUUGCUUGCCUCGUGGAGAACUAUGGAAUCUACAUGGGAUGUGCUGGGAGAUGAGUACAGGACAUUAAAUCAACCCUCUUGGACAGAAUCCUGCCCUAUUCUAAGUAUGCUUCAUCAGCAUAGGCCACUUUGUUUGUUUAUUUAUUUUUUGUCUUUUUGCCUUUUCUAGGGCUGCUCCCAGGCUAGGGGUCUAAUCGGAGCUGUAGCCACCAGCCUACGCCACAGCCGCAGCAACUCAGGAUCUGAGCCGCGUCUGUGACCUACACCACAGCUCACGGCAACACCAGAUCCUUAACCCACUGAGCAAGGGCAGGGAUCAAACCCGCAACCUCAUGGUUCCUAGUUAGAUUCAUUAACCACUGCACCACGACGGGAACUCCCAGGAUAGGCCACUUUGAAUAAUGAAGUGAAGUAGAGGCCCACUUGAGGCUUUAAUUUUUAGGUUUGCUUACUUGCAAAACUGUGGCUUUGCUAUAAGUGAAAUGCAGAUUUGUUUAACUCCGGCUCACCUGGUACCACCAUGUGUGCUGAAAUAGCCAGCGCCGGCGUCUGUCCAGAACCGUGGCAGCCGACCGGCUAUAACCCUGUGACUCUUCCCGCAGGUGCCCCGAGCGACCAGAGCAGCGGCACAUCCUCCCCUCUGUGCGACAGCGGCUUACACCUCAACUUCCACCCCAACAACACAGUAAGAUGCGACAGGGCCCUUCGCAGGGAGAGGGGACCCUCGGGGACAGGGGACGUGAGAGCUGGAGUUCGCACAAAGGUCUCCAACCCGGUGCCUCCCACCCAGUUAAAAGCCUUGGUUGCUUUAUUUUUUGAGAUUUAUGGUAAUCCUUGGAGGAAAAAAUAAUAACUCCAGGGAGGUCAGGUUUUUUAUGUCAUUUUUCUCCUCUCAGGUCUGUAUUAAGCCCUAAGUUGUAGAGCCUU
rnacentral:lncRNA from 1 species